GAGUGUGUUUAGUACGUAAGCGCCAUGGAUGGCGAAUCGUGCAUGCUGCUACUAACAACCAGCAGUAUCUUUUGAAGAUUUUCUAUCUC
rfam:Glossina austeni unplaced genomic scaffold Scaffold195, whole genome shotgun sequence.